UCUAAUAUGGCAGAUAAGUGCAAUGGAUUUAAGCUCUAUUUAUAAAGAUUCAUACAACUCUUUUAUUAGAA
rnacentral:tRNA from 1 species